CAAUGAGGGGCGUUGAGCGACAUGAGGAUCUGACAUCAUUAUAACGACGGCAUUCUGCGUGUAACGAAACCGGUUUAAGUACUAGUUAAGGUUUAGUUGAGUGUACACGACUGUCGCAUACCCGGGUACAAAAAACAGAUUUCACGCUGAUUAACUUUCAAUCAUUUUUUGGGAGCACAAAACAUAUUUCACACUGAUUAUCCAAUCACAUUUGAAUUCCUAGAAACCAUUCAGCAUUCGGCUAUUAUUAUUUGUAUUUAAAUUCUGGACUUCGACAUUUGUAUGCUUCGUUUUAAAAAGAAUUCUGGAGCGUGGUUUAAAUUCCAAAUAAACUUGAUUUGCGCAGAGUUCACAACAUUAUCACCAGCAACUUUAGUUGCUCCAGCUUUGCUAGUUGCUGAGAUCUUUGCGAUAAUAUAAACGGACGGACAGACAGACAGUAGAUAUGUUCCAUGUACCCUCCAAAUCGAUGACUACCGGGUGUAGGAAGUUUAACAUUCUUUUGCUGCGCAUUCAGAGGAAGCGGACAGCAAACAAUAUCGUUAAACUCGUCACAAUAUUUGACAUUGUUGAAGCCGAUAAUUUGCAGAUUGUAGAAUACUGCGGGACAGUCCGUUGCUGUUAAUUCUUUGCACUCGCCCGUCCCCCGAUCGCAGAACUCGCCCAGCACACUUCCAAUGGCCGAGAUAAACAAAAUGGAUAAGAACUUGCAGAUCGCGUCCAUUGUAUCCAACGGCAAGCGAGAAACUGAGUGAUGCCUCAAGCCAUUUAAAGUGCGUUUGCCCCAAAAAUAAAAAAACCCACAAAAAAUUAUAUUGCGCAUUCUCAAAACUUGAUAACGCCCCCCGUUCAUUUCGGUUGUUGUUCAUCUCACCACUCCAUAAUUAUCAGUCGUUUUGUCUAAUAUUAAAGCUUGUGAGAGACCCAGUGAUAUUGUGUACUGAAUAAUUAAUACCGGAGAAUAUUCAAUUAUCUCUAUAAGAGCCUGUGUCGUGGCGCCAAACUCAUUCGUAUUUUUAUCGAUAACUAAGAAAUAAAUCGACAGCAUGUACAGUCUCUAUUUCCAGUGUAGUGCAAUGUUGACAGAAAUUCUGAUCGAUUCAGUGUGACCGUUUUAUAAAUAUACUGCCCUAACUGUG